rnacentral:rRNA from 1 species
CAAGCGGUGGAGCAUGUGGUUCAAUUCGACGCAACGCGAAGAACCUUACCUGGGCUCGAACGGCUGGUCAACGGAGGUGGAAACGCUUUUACCCCGCAAGGGGGUCCAGUCGAGGUGCUGCAUGGCUGUCGUCAGCUCGUGUCGUGAGAUGUUGGGUUAAGUCCCGCAACGAGCGCAACCCUUGUCCUGUGUUGCCAUCAUUUAGUUGGGAACUCGCAGGAGACCGCCAGCGAUAAGUUGGAGGAAGGUGGGGAUGACGUCAAGUCCUCAUGGCCUUUAUGUCCAGGGCUACACACGUGCUACAAUGGACGGUACAAAGCGCAGCGAACCCGCGAGGGGGAGCCAAUCGCAAAAAACCGUUCUCAGUUCGGAUUGCAGGUUGCAACUCGCCUGCAUGAAGCUGGAAUCGCUAGUAAUGGCAGAUCAGCACGCUGCCGUGAAUACGUUCCCGGGCCUUGUACACACC